rnacentral:tRNA from 3 species
AGCCUUAGUUCAGUGGUAGAACACCAGCUUCCCAAGCUGGUUAUACGGGUUCGAUUCCCGCAGGCU